rnacentral:ncRNA from 1 species
GAGAACAAAAUGAAAACAUUCAUAGUAAAUACAUAUUGGUGGUGGCGCUCCGUACAACUCAAAAGUUCGUAAGGGACGAAGCCUAUAUGUAUAUACCUGAAUAGUAGAAAAUACAAUAAAGAGGUCUGUC